GAUCGAUCAUCCAUAUCAAAAUAAAAAAUUAAACCCCAAAAGUUGUUUCAGGUUUAAGGAAAAAAAGUGCAAACAAUCUUGAUCUUCCAUUAUGCCUGAUCAGUUUUCCUUUAUUUUUAUAUAAUAGCAUUUAAGCUUAAUUUUUGAGGUUUGUUGCUAUUAAAGAUUGCUUGAACGAUUUGCAUAGAAUAUGAAACGCCAUACAAGUAUACAACGAGAUUUUCAGUCAAUUACAUUGCCGGAAUAAUAUAUUCCUUCCCAGCCGGCACCAUCGUAAAUUCAAUAUAAGCAUUUGUGUGCUCGCUUCUUCUUCGGAGGCAUUUUGGGUCGUCUUUGAUGGUGGUUACAACUUACAACUUAUAAGGUAUUCUCAUUAUCGGUUUUGGAUAAUGAUGUUGUGAUCACUGAUCAGAAAGUGCAAGGCAGAUGCAAAUGCUUAACUUGUGGCCCUAUAUUAUGUACCUUAACAUGUAUGAAUUGUAGGUAUUUGUGACUUUAUAUAACAUAUGUUUUGAGUUGUGUUUUGAAGAGGUGAUAGUAUACUUAUACUAGGAUAGUGUUGAGUAGAAGUUAGGUAUCUAAUAUGUGUUGUGUAUUGACUAUUGAGUCGUUGUAUAUAUGAUGGGCAUGUCCAUCAUCGGGAAGUUUAAAUUUCGUAAGAUACUUAGAUGUUUGUAUAUAAAUAAAACGAGGAGGUAAGAAAGAAAAAAAACGAAAGAGAUCAUUUAUCUUUGACUUUCUGUUUACUAAGGUAAUAUUCAGGAAAAGAAGGUGUAGUUGUUCCAAGAAGUAGAAAGAUCAUCUUCCCAAGAGGGCAACUGCCUGUGGAGAAGGCAAAUAAUGAAAACAAUGAUAGCAAGAAAAAUGAUGCUUUGGUUAAAGAGAAAGAUAAGAUGUUAUACGUUAAAUUAUUGUAUAAAUGGUUUUAAAAAGUUAAAUGGUUUGUGAUAAAGCUAAUGUUGUGGUAUGCCUGGCUUUUUUAUGUUUAUGUAAUAGUUAUGGAUAAAGACAUGGGAGUGUAACCAACUUUGACCAAAGGGCUAUGUAAUGUACUCAUCUAUUCAACUUGCUAUCUA